rnacentral:rRNA from 1 species
GACGAACGCCGGCGGCGUGCCUAAUACAUGCAAGUCGAACGAGAGCGACCGGUGCUUGCACUGGUCAAUCUAGUGGCGAACGGGUGAGUAACACGUGGGUAACCUGCCCAUCAGAGGGGGAUAACAUCCGGAAACGGAUGCUAAAACCGCAUAGGUCUUCGAGCCGCAUGGCUUGAAGAGGAAAAGAGGCGCAAGCUUCUGCUGAUGGAUGGACCCGCGGUGCAUUAGCUAGUUGGUGAGGUAACGGCUCACCAAGGCCGUGAUGCAUAGCCGACCUGAGAGGGUGAUCGGCCACAUUGGGACUGAGACACGGCCCAAACUCCUACGGGAGGCAGCAGUAGGGAAUCUUCCGCAAUGGACGCAAGUCUGACGGAGCAACGCCGCGUGAGUGAAGAAGGUUUUCGGAUCGUAAAACUCUGUUGUUAGAGAAGAACAAGUGCUAGAGUAACUGUUAGCGCCUUGACGGUAUCUAACCAGAAAGCCACGGCUAACUACGUG